CCUACGUGGGCUGCAGUGGGGAAUAUUGGACAAUGGGCGAAAGCCUGAUCCAGCCAUGCCGCGUGUGUGAAGAAGGCCUUCGGGUUGUAAAGCACUUUCAGUGGGGAAGAAAGCCUUGGGGCGUUCACCUACGAGGAAGGACAUCACCCACAGAAGAAGCACCGGCUAACUCCGUGCCAGCAGCCGCGGUAAUACGGAGGGUGAGAGCGUUAAUCGGAAUUACUGGGCGUAAAGCGCGCGUAGGCGGUCUGAUAAGCCGGUUGUGAAAGCCCCGGGCUCAACCUGGGAACGGCAUCCGGAACUGUCAGGCUAGAGUGCAGGAGAGGAGGGUAGAAUUCCCGGUGUAGCGGUGAAAUGCGUAGAGAUCGGGAGGAAUACCAGUGGAGAAGGCGGCCUUCUGGACUGACACUGACGCUGAGGUGCGAAAGCGUGGGUAGCAAACAGGAUUAGAUACCCGGGUAGUC
rnacentral:rRNA from 1 species